UUGUUUGUCUUCUAAUGUAGGUGCGUGACCUCGAGGCCGAGUUGGACUCUGAGACGAGGCGCCACCAGGAGACACUGAAGGGCCUGCGCAAGAACGAGCGUCGUCUCAAGGAGCUGGGCUUCCAGGCCGACGAGGACCGCAAGAAGGAGGAGCGCAUGCAGGAGAUGGUCGAGAAGCUGCAACUGAAGAUCAAGACUUACAAGAGACAAGUGGAGGAGGCUGAGGAAACAGCCAACGUUAACCUGGCGAAGUGGCGCAAGACCCAGCACGAUCUGGAGGAUGCCCAGGAGAGAGCCGAGAUGGCCGAGUCCGCCCUGGGCAAGAUGCGCGCCCAGCACCGUUCUGCCGGGCCGAAUUUGUAAACCCUUUGCAACGUUCCUUGCGAGGUGGCGUCAUGAAGAGGCAGAGAGUAACAAGCUGACUGACCUCUUCAGACGUCGGAUCGACAAAGUGAUUUUUUCUUCUCCCCUUUAGUGACCCCAGUGAUUAUCAUUCUUUGCGACUUGUUUACUUCCUCCAGCAGCAUUUCCCCUCAGUGGCCACACGCACGCACACUGACACAGCGACUGACCGGGAGAUGUUGCUGGAUGGCGUUUCGAACGAGUACUAAAAAUUUGUAACAUUAGAUUAAAUGUCGUCACUGCCGUCGAUUUUAAAAAUGUGAUAUUAUGUUACCGCCGUCAAUUGGCUGUAUAUUGCAUUGGGUUUAUCCUUAAGCCACUAUUCGAUCAACUGCACGUCAAACUUACAACAAUGCUCUGACUUAAGUCUUGACAGAGCUACUAACUAGUCCGUAUUUAGAUUAUUCUUUACUAACUUAGUAAACAGACAAUUAUUUUCUGUUGUGAACGGCCCAGGACUAAGAAAGAAAAGCUGUCGGAAUUAAGAAUUACAUGGAAUUCUGGGCUGACGUAACGUAAAAGUCAUAUUCCUGUCGAGAGAAAAUAAGACUUGUUGUAAGUGCAUCUCUUCCGGGACCACUAUUAGCACUUAUGUAGUCUUAUAAGGUAUGUUUGUGUGACCUGCGACGUGAAUGGGUGCUUCGUUGCAUUUGAUGCUGAUUAAACUUCUAUAAAAAGACCA